rnacentral:miRNA from 1 species
CACCUGGGGAUUUUGUUAAAAUGCAGAUUCUGAUUUAGUAGGGAUGCAAGAGCCUGCAUUUCUAACAAGCUCUGGAAGUUGCUG